GAAACUGCGAAUGGCUCAUUAAAUCAGUUAUCGUGGAUUUGAUAGUACCCUACUACAUGGAGGCCUGUGGUAAUUCUAGAGCUAAUACAUGCGCAAAACCCCGACUUCGGAAGGGGUGUAUUUAUUAGAUAAAAAACCAAUGCCCUUCGGGGCUCCUUGGUGAUUCAUAAUAACUUCACGAAUCGCAUGGCCUUGCGCCGGCGAUGGGUCAUUCAAAUUUCUGCCCUAUCAACUUUCGAUGGUAGGAUAGUGGCCUACCAUGGUGGCAACGGGUAACGGGGAAUUAGGGUUCGAUUCCGGAGAGGGAGCCUGAGAAACGGCUACCACAUCCAAGGAAGGCAGCAGGCGCGCAAAUUACCCAAUCCCGAUACGGGGAGGUAGUGACAAUAAAUACUGAUACAGGGCUCUUUUGGGUCUUGUAAUUGGAAUGAGAACAAUCUAAACACCUUAACGAGGAACAAUUGGAGGGCAAGUCUGGUGCCAGCAGCCGCGGUAAUUCCAGCUCCAAUAGCGUAUAUUAAAGUUGUUGCAGUUAAAAAGCUCGUAGUUGAACCUUGGGCCCGUCCUGCCGGUCCGCCUCACCGCGAGUACUGGUCCGGAUGGGCCUUUCUUUCUGGGGAAUCCCAUGGCCUUCACUGGCUGUGGUGGGGGACCAGGACUUUUACUGUGAAAAAAUUAGAGUGUUCAAAGCAGGCCUUUGCUCGGAUACAUUAGCAUGGAAUAAUAGAAUAGGACGUGCGGUUCUAUUUUGUUGGUUUCUAGGACCGCCGUAAUGAUUAAUAGGGAUAGUCGGGGGCGUCAGUAUUCAGCUGUCAGAGGUGAAAUUCUUGGAUUUGCUGAAGACUAACUACUGCGAAAGCAUUCGCCAAGGAUGUUUUCAUUAAUCAGGGAACGAAAGUUAGGGGAUCGAAGACGAUCAGAUACCGUCGUAGUCUUAACCAUAAACUAUGCCGACUAGGGAUCGGGCGGGGUUUCUAUGAUGACCCGCUCGGCACCUUACGAGAAAUCAAAGUUUUUGGGUUCUGGGGGGAGUAUGGUCGCAAGGCUGAAACUUAAAGAAAUUGACGGAAGGGCACCACAAGGCGUGCGACUGCGGCUUAAUUUGACUCCACACGGGGAAACUCACCAGGUCCAGACAAAAUAAGGAUUGACAGAUUGAGAGCUCUUUCUUGAUCUUUUGGAUGGUGGCGCAUGGCCGUUCUUAGUUGGUGGAGUGAUUUGUCUGCUUAAUUGCGAUAACGAACGAGACCUCGGCCCCUUAAAUAGCCCGGUCCCCCGUUUACUCGGCCGCUGGCUUCUUAGCGCGGGACUAUCGGCUCAAGCCGAUGGAAGUACGUGGCAAUAACAGGUCUGUGAUGCCC
rnacentral:rRNA from 1 species